AAUGGAUGGCUCAGUGAAGGUAGCUAUGAAAUGCUUUUUAAAGGUAAUAUGUAGAGAAAGAUGCUGAGUGGAUUCAAAGCAGAGAAACCCAGAAGAUAAACUGAACUCUCUGUUGUGCACGUUUAGGGGCUGUGUGUCUACUAUAUAUUCUGAACAGUGGUUUGAUUGUCUGUCUGUCUGUUCUCUAUGGCAGAGGUUUUCAACCUUUUUGAGUCCACGGCGCCCUUGACCAACUGCAUUCUUUCUGUGGCACCCCUGUGGGGCUCAGGAGCCGAGUUAUGUCACCCCUUGCCUGCAGAGCUGGCAGCCUCUCACCCCUUUUCGAACACUCUCCCUUGCGGAGUGUUCCCUCAACCUCCUCUCCUCUCUUCUCUCCUGAGGACUCUUCUGGACAGCCGCAGCUGAUGCCCCGGUCUCUGAGAUACACAUCGUGCCCCAAAGAGAGGUGCCUUCUCACACUACCCCACCGGGGCCUGGGAAGCACCCCCCCCCCCAGCCAGCCACAGAGGCACCAUUCACCCGAGGAGCUUGUAGCCAGGGCUGAUGCAACCAACAGUUGUGCAAGUCACUGGGAGUCAGAGACACAAGAAGGCAUCAGAGAAGGGAGGGGACACUGGUUAAAAACUACUGCUCUAUGGAUUUGGCCACAUCCUGAGAUAUCAUCACCAAACUUGGCACAAGGGUUCCUGAAUUGUGGGUGGCAAUUUUUGUCAAUGUUGGACUGCUGCCUGUAAUUUGAAUCAAGAUGACAGUCCAAAACAUGGUUUAGGCAUGACUUUGCCCAUAUUUUGGCAUAGGUUUGGCCGCCUCUCAAAAUAUCAUUGCCAAAUGCAGCAUUAGUGCUUCCAAAAUAAGGCUGGUGGUCUUCAUGGAAGCUGGGUACCAUUUUGAUGCAAGGUGGUGGACUGAAACACAACUUUGGACCAACUUUACCUGGUUUUUGGUGUGUCACCCCUAAGAACUCACAAUUUAAAAAUUGUGAACUCUAUCAAUUUAAAAACCACGUUUUUGUGUUUUCUACACAUUCUCAGGUUCUGACCAUGUUUUUUGGUUCCUGUUUUUUGGCUCCUGGCAGGGAGAUGUCUUAUUUGAUGUAACGGUAUUUGUAGUACAAAUUGCAAAGGCUGCCAUUCUUCCAGAUAGAGCUUUCUCCUCUGUAUAAAAACCAUAUUCUGGGAAGUGUUUUACUGUAAGAAUGUUUUAAUACUUUAAAUGCUGAUCUGAAUGUAAAGAGUUAACUGUAAGAAGAAUAAACAUGUAUUUUACAUUGACUAGAGCCGAAAUAUACAAGGUCAGCCAGCAGUGGGCCAAGUGACAGUUAAACUGUCAAAGUUGAUCCCUGUUGCUAAGAAGAUGGCAGAGUACAUGCUGUGUUUUGAUUUUUAUAUAUAUACAGAGCAGUAGCAUCCAAAUGUGGACAGCUGAUGGCUGGUCAUUUGGUGGACAUUCCAUCCAAAUCUAUUGGUCCGUAAUUAUAGGCCAAUGAAAGUUUUGAAUUCCAACAGGAACAAAUGGAUUGGCUUGAUAGUCUUGACUGAAAGGAAUUUAAGGUCAGGUCCGGCACUGUUUGAAGUAAGUCAGUUGGGCAGUCUUUGGUGUACUGUAAACAGCUUCAGCCCAGGACUCAAGAACAAACUCUGAAAGCCAAAAAAAGAGAGAGAUUGAAGUAGUAGCAGCUGGGGAAGCCCACCUGGAAUCUGAAAUUACUUGAGGUGAGAGCUAAGAAGGCUUCCAAGAGCAUAGUGAGUGAUUUGAGCAUCAGGCUUUGGGAGAGCUGAGGACAGGGUAAGGAUGGGCAAAUCUGUCCAUUUUGGUUUCUUUCAGUAUUUAUAAUAUUUAUAAUCUUAAAUUCAGUUCUGUAUCCUUCCACAUCAGUUUGCAGUUUUAAAAUGAAAAUCAUCAGCAGUUUAGUGUGCAUUUCUCCUAAUACAAUACUGUACGCACAUUUUUGUAUGCAACUUUUGCCUAAUAGGCUUUUUUUAAACCAGCAAUAUUACCAAAAAUAUGGUUUUUGUGUGCUAUUUUCACUAAUACAUGCAUUUUUAUGCUUAGCCUAGUAUAAGCACUUUUGAAUAAAUUCCUUAGCUUGCUUGACUGCAAAACUGCGCUGCAAAAUUGAGAAAAGUGGGAAUUUCAAAUGAUGCCUGUGUUCUGGUUCACCUAUUGAAUCAAGCUGGUUUGUCUUUAAAUAUGAAUGGAAUCCAAUUUCUCUUCUAUCUCUAGGUCAUAGUGACUGCAGAGGGAAGCUGUCCUGAGUGAAGACUUCUGAUGAGGCUCUUUGUAAAGCUAGAAAGGAACCUAACACUCACCCAGAGGGAACAUUUCAGGUAAAACUCUCUUACCAAGCCUGCUAAUUAAUAGAGGGUGAAGUUAGGAAGGGCACUUGUCUCAAGUUAUUGUAGAGGGAAAGGAGCUAGAGCAAAUACCUAGCUAUCUCCGUAAAGCAAGAAUAACAC
rnacentral:lncRNA from 1 species